UACGUAGGGGGCAGGCGUUGUCCGGAAUCAUUGGGCGUAAAGAGCGCGUAGGCGGUCCGGUAAGUCCGCUCUGAAAGCCCGGGGCUCAACCCCGGGAGGCGGGCGGAUACUGUCGGGCUAGAGUCCGGAAGAGGCGAGUGGAAUUCCUGGUGUAGCGGUGAAAUGCGCAGAUAUCAGGAGGAACACCGAUGGCGAAGGCAGCUCGCUGGGACGGUACUGACGCUGAGGCGCGAAAGCGUGGGGAGCAAACAGG
rnacentral:rRNA from 1 species